UGAAGAAGGCCUUCGGGUUGUAAAGCACUUUAGUGGGGGAAGAAAGGUGCGCAAGCAUUUUGACGGUACCCCAAGAAUAAGCACCGGCUAACUCUGUGC
rnacentral:rRNA from 1 species